GACGAACGCUGGCGGCGUGCUUAACACAUGCAAGUCGAACGGAAAGGCCCUGCUUUUGUGGGGUGCUCGAGUUGCGAACGGGUGAGUAACACGUGAGUAACCUGCCCUUGACUUUGGGAUAACUUCAGGAAACUGGGGCUAAUACCGGCUAGGAGCUCCUGCUGCUUGGUGGGGGUUGGAAAGUUUCGGCGGUUGGGGAUGGACUCGCGGCUUAUCAGCUUGUUGGUGGGGUAGUGUCUUAGCAAGGCUUUGACGGGUAGCCGGCCUGAGAGGGUGACAGGCCACAUUGGGACUGAGAUACGGCCCAGACUCCUACGGGAGGCAGCAGUGGGGAAUAUUGCACAAUGGGCGGAAGCCUGAUGCAGCAACGCAGCGUGCGGGAUGACGGCCUGCGGGUUGUAAACCGCUUUCGCCUGUGACGAAGCGUGAGUGACGGUAAUGGGUAAAGAAGCACCGGCUAACUACGUG
rnacentral:rRNA from 1 species